rfam:Calypte anna contig56280, whole genome shotgun sequence.
AAGGGCUGGGGAAGAGCUGCUGGGUGGUGGGGCCAGCAGGCCCUGCCCUGUACCAGGCAGCCCCCUCCCCUCUGCCCCAGAGCAAGGCCCUGGCGUGCUCCCUGUGGGGCUCCCCCUGUGCAGUAACAGGUGUGAGCAUCCAUGCAGCCUUCUGAUGGUCAUGUAUGAUACUGCACACACCC